rnacentral:lncRNA from 1 species
CAUGCAUUGGAAGAGCUGGAAAACCGUCUAGAUAAAAGGAACAGAAAACGCUCCUGGGUUCAGGUGUCACUGAAUAAGGUAAAAUUACCUUGGUAUGCUCAUGACUUGGUAUUUCUUAAUUAGAUACAAUGAUGUUAGCUGCCUCAGAACUAGAGAAUAAAACCCUAAGAGUAAGAAUUUAUUGCAGUGGAGUAUUACAAAGCUUAGUAAGUAUCAUUGCUGAUUAUUUCUGUCAUCA